GCUAACUUGUGAUAGUGUUCGGUGUUGAUCUCAGAUAUUUGUUAUUUCAGCUGUUGUUAAUAAAAAUAUGCAGCUCUUUGAGGUCAGUGAUAUUUGGCCAAGAGUUAAUGAAGCAGAAGCAAGAGUGUUCUUCCGCUGUUAAUUGCCACGGAAAUGGAAACUGAUUGCAUGUUGGAACUACAAAGUUUGGGGAUAUGAACACUGGGCAAAACAAGAUAUAAGACAAUGAAGAGGCCUGAAACUAUAUACAGUGUUUUAUAUCGAAAAAGGAAAUUAAUGAAAAGAAAAAGCAGGGUUAGGAAGAAUUUUUUUUUAUUCUUCCAAAACACUUUUACACUUGCAUUUGAAGUCAUCUGAUCAAAUGUGUUAUAAUUUAUUUAAUAGUAUUUAAAAACAAUACCACCAAAAUAGUUAAAUUCACAACUUUUAUCAACUAAAUUCUCAAAAAAUUGUUAAAAAAAAUUAAGUUACUUAGACUGAGAAAGUUUUUCUACCUAUUUUACAUAAAUUUUAAAAGCAAAAGUAACA